AACUCAUCAGUCAGUCAAUAAAUAUGUAUUAAGCACCUAUGUAUGCUCUGGAGAUACAUAGGAAGGCGAAACAGUUCAAUCCCAAAGAGCCACAUUCUUAAGAGAUGGUAGUUUUGUCAAAGAGCACUUGGAUGAGUGGAUGGAUGGAUGGAUGGAUGAAUGGAAAAGACGAGGACUGUUAAAUCCUACUUUUGCUGUAACGCUUUGAGGAAUACACAGCUUAAUGCCCCUGUAGCAGAUGUGUGGUGAUAGGAAAGGACUUCAGAAACUUCAGAGAAAGCUGCAUCUUCUGCAAAAGGAGUCAAGAAGGCCUCUCCUCGGAUUCUGUGAGUCUUCAGCAUAUGCAUGAAGGAGAAGGCUGAGGUUGCCUGCGUGGCAGUCAUGACAAAGGUCCAAGCAGUUCAUUCAAGCCAUACGUAUGAAGCCCCAUUGAAAAAAAUCUCAUUUCUGCAUUCAAGAUAAGAAUCAUUGAUAAAAAUUUCAAACAUCACAAAGCUAAGAAGAGAUCCAUGGGAUACUUGACUGGAGAUCUGCCAUGAUGACCCUGGACCAUUAGCAACUACUCUUAAAAUCCAAUUAUGUGAAUAGUUUUGAAUUCAUUUGGUUGCACUGCUGUCUAAUCUUUAUUACUCCAUUUUCACCACAGAAAUAAGAGGUACUUUUUCAAAAGCUUUGGUAA
rnacentral:lncRNA from 1 species